GGGGGCGGCUGCGGGCGGCAGGCGGCGGCGCGGCGGCGCGCGCCAUGCCCGGUAGCCGGCGGAAGGGGCCCGGCCCCAGGCCCGCCGGCCCCGGGGGGCGCGGCGGCGGCGGCGGCCCGGAGCAGCAGCAGCAGCUCGCCCUGCGGCGGCCCCCGGAGCCGCCCGUCGAGGAGGAGGCGGCGGCCGGCGGCGCGGAAGGCGGCGCGGGCCGAGGCCUGCCCGGCGGGGAGGCGGCGGUGCGCGGCGCUGCAGAGUCAUCUGUACAUAAAACACCAAAGAGAUCGUUGAGUAGGAAAUCCCGAAUACCUACUUUCAGCUCUCCUAUUAAUGACACUGAUAUACAGCAAGAAAUCUUUUGGGAUCCUCAUUCACCGAUUGCACACAGACUAGGCAAUGGAAAAACCAAACAGUCUGCCCGUAGAUGUGCAGUAGAAAUUUCAGAAAUUGUUAAUCGUAUUGCUCCUCAGGAUGAAAAAGCAACCUGUAAUGAAGGCUCCCUUUUAGGGACAUGGAUUGGUGAGGAUGCUAUUCCCUGUACACCUGGAGCAGUAAAAGUGCGAGCUAGGACAAAAUUAAGUUGUACAAGAGAUCUUAAAAUAAAAAAUCCUGAAGAGGAACUAAUGAAAUUGGCUAAGGAAUUUGAUAAAAAUCUAGUAGAGCUAGAUACUGUUCAGGAACAAGAGAAGCUUGGUCAUGACUUCAUCCAAACUGCCUCAGAGUCUUUAAAUAAUUCUAAAGAUGAAGGAAAUACAAAGAACCUGAAAUCACUCCUUGGUGAAGUUUCUGAAACAGAUACUGCUCUGUCCCUGAAACCAGUUGGACAGAGCACUGGCAUCCCUGCUGCAGAGCCCUGUCAAUCUAGCAGUCAAAAGUCUGUAGACCUUGAGGCUGAAAUAGCCCUUCAUGCUCUCUUUGACUGCUCUACGCAGAAGUGUAGUGGACGGUUGAGCCAAGAACUAUCAAGUAUUUCAUUAAAUUACAGUUUCCACGAAAAUAAAAUCACCUUGGAAGAGGAACGCACUCCUGAGCAAAUUAAAGACCUGCAACAUGGUAAUUCAAAGGCAUAUCAAGAAGAUACUCAGUGUGCACUGGGAAGCACGAACCAGACUCUUCCAAAACUUGAUACUCACACGGUAACAAAAAAAAAUUCCUGUUCUUUGAAGACACAGCUUGUGUCUAGUAAGCUUGCUGGAGUAGUUAAUGAUGAUUUUGAUGACUGGGAUACAGAUUUUUUGGCAGAUGACUCUUUUGUGAUGCAAAUAACCCAGAAUCCGGAAUUGCUAACUACGGAAGAAGCACCACCUAUUCCUACAAAUACAUCUGUGAGUGGUUUCAGUGAUGGUAGCAGAACAAAAGAAAGAAGUAGUUGCAAUUCAGUACCUUGUUUAGAGAGUGUUCAGAACUCUAAGAGUUUGCAGUUUUCACCUUUGAAACAUUCCAGUAAAACCACACAAAAUGUUGCAAAAUCUCUUUCUUUACAAAAGCCAUAUAAGAAGACAGAAAAUUCAAACACAGAGACUGUAGCCUUUCACGGCAAAGCUGCUGUUAAGCCAGAUAAAAUAAAUUAUAUCUGGAAAAGUGCCCAAAACAGUGAUUUGAACCAUAUUCCUGUUUCAAUGCAAUCUAAAGUUAAGAAUGGAAAUGAAACUAUUCAGCCUAAAAGUGAUCCUCUUCAUCUUCUUCCUUCAAGUUCUAAUCCUCAUAGGCAACGGAUUGAAAAACCUGGGAAUAAUGCACACAAUAUUUUCUGUCAAUCAUCCAGUGUUUCUACCAAUACAAAACCUAAUGAUCUAACUACAGUGGUUAACCAAACUAAUACAGGUCACUUAAAUCAAGUUGAAAUACCAAAGAAAUGUCCUCUGUCGUUUGAUGACUGGAAUGAACCAAAAUUCUCUGAUGAGGUAUUAGAUAUGUUUUGUGAAUCGGAUAGUCUUUGGGAUGCAAACUGUGAAGAUGAUGAAUUGUUGUAUCAGGUGUGUGAUGAUAUAGAAAAGCAGACUCAGAGCCAGGAUGUUAAACAAGGAAAUGAAAGAGCUAAAACUAUACCAGGACCCAGUAUUAUUUCCAGAUCAAAUGCUGAUAACAGCUUCCCAUCAUCUAAACAAGGACUACCUGGUGACCUCUUGGCACAAAAAACAAAUGCAAAACAGGACACUCUCUCACUAAACGAUUCCUGUAGGAAUUCAUCAAAGGUUACACGUGGGCUGGCCACAACAGGUCAAGUAGUGAACUGUAAAAACAUCUCAAGUCCUGUAACUUUGAUCUCAGGUACUUCUAUGGAGUGUAAAUACACACUGUCUAAAAACUGUCAUCAAGCUGCUUCUGAAGAUCCUACAAGGACUGUUUUGGGAAAAUGGUACAGGUCAAAUUCUGUGCCGCUAGGAGAGACUGGUUCAGAAAUAAGUCCUGUUAAUACAGUAAACAUUUUUAGUAGCAAAACAUUGGAUAGCCCAGAGCUUUUGUAUAAUAUGGGAAAGAUGCCAAACAACAGUUUUGGUAACAAAACAUCACUUGUGCCUUCAAAGUUUAAGUUUCGAAAGACUAAUGGUUCUCAAAGUGCUCUUCAUGUAGGGUCUGAAAAUCCAGGGAGUCAUUCUGGUAUUGGUAUUACUCUUCAGGGUUUGGAAGACAGCAAGAAUCAGGUGAAUGUGACUUUGCACAAGCAGCUUGACAGUAAGAAACCACCUUUCAAGAGGCACAUUUCAGAGUCUUUUGCACUGCCUGCAUCAGGCUUUGAUAUUCAUCCAUUCAGUUACGAUUGUCUGUGGUGGAACAAAAAAAUAGAAAAUGUUCUCAAGAAGAAAUUGAAAGAAAAAAACAAGAAGCUCUUGCACGAAGGAAAUCCAGGAUGCAGGCAUCCUUUAAAGAUGCUUGAAUUUGGAGUUUGUGUUGUCUAUGGAAUAUCGACGCAUUUCAUGAUGAGUGAUGCUACUCACUAAAAUCCAAGGAUUCUCCUUUUCAGCAGGUACUGGGAAGACAAGUGAAGAUUGUCCAACCUUCUCCAGGUGUCUAACACAACCGUGUAUUGCUUUUUAAUACGUCUGGCAGCUGACAGUAGAGGGGUAACGAAAAGGACCAGCCAGAAGUAAUGUGCCCAGAAGUCUGUAUAAAAAUCCAGAUUUCAUUAACAGAGCCGUGACAUCUAGGAACGGGAUUGAUACAGAUGGCAGCUCAGUUACAGAGUUCAGCUGAUGCUGAGUGUAUGUUAAGCAUGGAAAACAGAUUACUAUGAGCUCCAAUCUAUCUCAAGUGGUACAUUUUGGAAACCCUAUCUGUUUACUCCAGGUGAAACAUGGAAGAUUUUUUUCCAGAAGAAACAUUGUCCAGUUUAACUACAGACAGCAUGAAAAGUCUCCCUUCUAUCUAAUCUAAAGAAAAAAAUUGUGACACUCUUUGUAAAGAAAACAACCUUCUUUUCUGUGUGCCAUCGUUGAUGGUAACAGAUGACAGUACAGAGGUUUUCCAAGAAAUUCCCUCGAAGUUGCAAAAAGUACCUUUCUGUAACACAGUUAAACUAAAUUAUGCAAACAGGAUCUUGCCAAAUACACAGGAAAAAUGUAGCAAUUGUAACAGAAACAGCCAUUCCCUGCUUUGGAAAUGAGGACCUGUAUGCACAGGUUUAAACAAGGCUUUAGAAAUCUAGCUUUAAGCACCCCAUUUUAUUCCUGCUUCUGUAAUUUUGAUCCAACCAAAUAGAUCUGCACUGAAUUUUCUGCUGCCUAGCACACAGCUGGAGGUAGUGGAACAUUUUUGCUAUUCUUUGUAAAUAUCCCAUUAAAAGCAUGCUAAGGAGCUGCUUCAGCCUGGCACUCAUUCAGGUGGGUGGCCAGUGCCACCAACCACCCUGCAGCAAAGCCCGGAAGCAGCAUUUUAAAGUAAAGCAUGUGCCCUGGUGCUGUGUUGAGCAGGGGCUGAAAACUAUGAUGGAUGUACCCCAAAGUCAGGAAGAACAGGAGUCUGCUCCAAUUAUAGCUACUCAAGUGCAGGCAUCAAGCUCUCAGCUAGCUAUCAGGGCUCCCUCCAUAGCAAGAGGACAGAAAUAAAUACUCCCAGGUUGUGAAUCAUCUUCUGCUAUGGUAGGCAUCUAAAACAGAUCAAAUCAGUCAUGACCUCCAGCUGUCUGUUUCCUACCACUGACUAGAUGAAACGUUCAAAUGGGUGGCUUAGAUAUAGGCACCUACUUCACUGCCAUCUCAAAUGACCCAAGAUGCAUCGCAUCUAUAAUAUGGGUGGUGAUACACACCCCAGGAGUGGAGAAGUUCCAAGUCUAAAGAUCUUCCUGGGCUUUUUUCCUUUUUAACUCCUGCAGGAUCCUGCUUAAUCAGUUUCCAGGUAGGAAAAAGAAGAAACAGGACAGUUACUACAGUAAACAGUAUUGGGAGGAUCUGUGCUUCUACCCUGUAGUUAUGUGAAGCCUGGGGAUGCUGCAGUGAGGCCUGUAAAGACAGAGAGAGGUACUUCCAGCAAGAAAAAGCUCAGCUUGUGGGUUGUCACGAAGUACUAUCCCACAGUUCUGCCGUUCAACAGGACAUGGAUUACCUACAAUGUGGUCCAAACCUCUCCAGGAAAUAAGUGAUGAAGAACAUCUUGGGAGGUAGUAUUUGGUAUUAGCCUAGCUAGUUCCCUGAGAAAAUGCCUUAGUAUACUCUUAGGUACUUUGGAUCUCUGUGUCUCCAGGGCAUUCUUGUCCCCAAAUGUCCCUUACAACCCUAGGAUAAUGGGGGAGAGACAGAUGCCUACACCAGCACAUGCCAAGGACUUCACUUAAAACCUAAUUAUUGCCUGCUUGGACUUGCUCUCAAAAGGCAUCAACUUUCUUGUUCUGCAUAUAUGGUAGACAGAGGAGAUUUUUGUGCUUAAAACUAAGUGCCUAAAUCCAUGCCUAUGAAUCUGGGAGAAAUAUACUUCCAGGUCUACUUCUGAAGGAAAAACCUACAAAGAUUUUGUUACACACAGAUUCUGCAAAACUGGGUACUGUGGGGAAGACUAAAAGACUAUUACAAAAAAAGAAAAAAGCCCAAACUUAUUUUAUACCAAGACAAACAGUAUUUAAUAAAUUAAAGCUGUAAUCAAUGGCAAGCAUUCAGAACAAACUGCUUUUUUGGCUACACAGCACCCAUCUCAAUUAGGCAGGGAUUUGGUGCAAAAGCAGUCUACAGCUAGGUAAUAAAAGAUGAAAUCUGAAUGCGUACAUGGAAGGGAGAAGAGUAAAGGCCAGGCCUGCCACACUCACCAUGUCACUUCUUGGUUUCUGAGCUCUUCAUUUUGCAAUGGGGCCAUUCCUGCAGCAUAAUGGGGAAUCUGGCACCAAGAGCUACACAAUACAUUUUUUUAUUAUGACCUAGCAAAACAGAAAUGCUACGUUCCCAGAGCCAAGGAGCACCUCUAAUUUCCACUGAAGUCAGUAGAAGUUUUGAAUCCCCAACAGUAGGCUUUUUUAAAUUUUCCAUUUUAAUUGUUUCAAAAUUUGAGAGCUAACUGAAAACAGCAUAAAACUAUGUAAAACAAAUGGCACUGUAAACUGUGCAAAAAAAUGUAUUAAUAGAUACUGGCUAAGGUACUACUCUUCAGAUAGUGUCUCCAGUUGCCUCAAGAGUUCCAACUGGCAAUUACAAUUGUCUUCAGCUCUACUCCUUGUUUUCCUUUAAAUAACAAUGCAUCCAUAUAUAACAUAACAAAACACAACGCGAUCCAAGGUAACCCUGUAGAAAUAAAAAUGUGCUUUGGAUCAGAUCCUUGUUAUUAUAUAAAUGGUGAACGUUUGAUCUGUAUUUAUUGCACUUGGACUGAAGUGCACAGAAGAGUAAGUGUCCUCAGUUGGGCAGUUAGCAGAUCUUUAAUUAUAAUUUAUAAAUAAAGACUAUGUUCCCAUGAACAAUGCCUCAGUGCAACCUACUAACUAUGGCUCUUGUGCCACUCCACUUAAAUAACUCACUUUCCUUUCCUGCAUGGCUGUUGUCAAAUUCUUAACAGUUACCCUAUCUCAUAUCUCAAAGGCACAUGGUGUGGCACUCAAUUAUGAUUUUGAAAUGAAAGAGAAAAUUGUUUUUGCAGAUACUGGAAAAUAUCAGAGGUAUAUCAACUCUCUUUGGGAUGUCCCAAGAAACAACUCUGCUCUCCUAAAGUGGGUAAAAAAGACAAGAGUGGAGAAAUUUGUAUUACACUACUCAGACUUGUAAAUUAAGGGGAAUUUUCCCCAGUUCAGAAAAUUCAGCCUCAGUUUGCUGUUAGGGUAACAUUUUUUCUUGAAAGGAAAGGAAGCCAUUGCACCUCCUCACGUACUGGCUUCUGUUUACACAGUCUUAUUGUGCAACUCAUCCAUGCUGUUGAUCCUCUUACACUCUGAAUCAUGACAUUUGCUUGGACCAUUACGAUAAAACCUCAUUCAUUUUUGGCAGAUAAAAUCUCUGUUUUCCAUGCAUGAGGGCAGACAACAGAGUAACGAAAACACAGAUUCAAAAGCAAAACACUCACGAGUUCUUCAGGGCAACAUGUGGAAAAGGUGGAGAAGCAUGUCAGAAUUGAAAAAAGAGGCCACCAAAUGGGUGUAAAUAACAUUCUCCUGCAAGGGCAUUUUUCUCUGCCAAGAAGGUGUUAGGGAGGCCUCAGUAUUAAUGAGAAUCAAGCCUGAGGCAGAGAAAACAGAUGUUGGCUCACAGCCCACAGGUAAAUUAAUGGCAGUUAGCACAGUACAACCUAUGAUUUACCCCAACAGUACAACUCAACUGAUUUUAACACAACCAUACACCCCAAGAUUUUGAUCCCAAAGGCAGCAGUCCUUUACAACUGCAUGGACAAAAUGUGGGUGAAGAACAAAUUCCCAAGAGAUGACUGUAUCUGCUGCAAUCUGCUGCCUGGUCAACCUGGAUAACCUACCAUCCACUCAAGUCAAAGGCAUCCUUGCAAUAGGAUCCUGAUUGAUAGUUUUCUUUGGAUAGGAACACCAUCAUGUGUUUUAGCUCCUCAGUAAAGUUUUGAGAUUACUUAUCUAUGCCUUUACUCAACCCUCCAAGAAUGAUCCUGCUGCAUAAAUUCACGCUGAGGAGAAAUUAAUAGCCCUUCAGGUAAACUGGAGGUAGCCUUGAAUUCUGGAAAGAUGGGUCGAUCAUGAUUUUUCAAAAUUACAGACAAUCUAUCCUGGUCAUUUGUAUACAAUCAUAUGCAGGAGUUUCAUAUUUUUACUUUUUUUUUAUUAUGAGAGAGACAGCUUAAACAGGUAACUACCAAGUAUUACUGACAGAGGAGACACAAAAUUUAUUACCUCUCCCACUGAAGGCAUUCAGAGAACUUUCCCUAUGCAAAACACCAGCACGAGACCUCUCCUCACCAUGCCUCUGCUUUAAUUGUGAACCUCAGCAUCUGCACUGAGAGCAACUUUUUUUUUUCCAGGGGUUAAUAACUCAAGUUUAACAGAUUGCUCUACACUGACACACAGUUCCAACUUGGGAGCAAGCAUUUCUUUUAUAAACAUUUUUUUUUAUUUUCUUUUAAAUGGUGAUUUCUUUUUGGUUUUGCUUGUAAUGUAUGUAAAAUGAUUUGGGAUGCUUUUGCACUUGUGUACAGUAACUCAAAAGCAGCUUUCAUUGGAACAGUGGAAUUUGGCAAGUGAACAGUCAAUAUUACCCUCAAAUUGCUUUUAGCAUCUUUGCAAAAAUAAAAACGUCAUUUAAAAUGGCUGAGAUAUUUCAAUUUGAAAAGUGGCUACUGAACAGGCACAAUAAUGGCAUGGAUUUUUACUUUGCGUAUGUAAUGCACAUAUUCAGCAUAAUGAGAUUCCUAAAAUACACAUCUCCAGAUUAGGGCUGUACUAAUCACUGAUUUUUUUUUUUUUUUUUUUCCCACGUCUGUGGUGGAAAUUGAAAAAUAAAAUCUGUUUGGGUUGA